rnacentral:lncRNA from 1 species
UAUACACCCAGGCACCAUUUUUGUACAGAAUAUAUAUGAUGCUUGCUCCGUGAAUGACUAUCUUGUUGCACGCAUGUCUCCGAAUAAAAUGCAAGGGGUUAGAAACACAUGCAGCACUUCGUAAAUGGUUCCUUAUUCCUGAUCUUUUUAUUGCGCACAGAUCUUACAACUUUUUGGUGCACCACUAUUAGAGGUCUGACCUACAGAAGUCUCCACGGUAAAUAAAGUCUGCCGCCUACCUCGCAGCCUGCUCCUUUCAUAGGAAUCAUUGUGUUGUCUUCAUACUUCACAGGUUUUGUGCUAGCCGUGAAAUGUUUUUGGCCACAUAACUUAUUCAACUAGGUACCUCCGCUGCUCUGCGACCACGAGAAGCUCCAUGCCUUGGUGAGGUCGGUCCCUAUUUUUAGGACUAGGUGGUGUGCUAUGAUUCCCGCUUCCUACUGAUUUGUCCACUUUUUCUCUGUCCUACUCCUCUCUUUUGAUUUAAUCCCCUGAAUCUCUAAUCUUUGUUUGUGCAGAUUCUCUCUUACCUAUGCCUACAAGGUGUUUGAUGAAAAUCCAAGCAAGCUGCAAAGAAUAUUCAUCUAU